ACCUGGAAACAAAGAGGUAAGAAAAAGUCUCUUGCCUCUUCGGCAGGUCCAGAGUUUUCCCCGGACUCCCUCCCGGCUAGCCGUGGCGCACUAAACCCCUGCAGGCUGUGUUCGUGCCGCCAACCCCAGUCCUCUCCCUGCGCUCCAACCGAAGCCCGAGCCUCAGCUCCCAGCCCCGCCUGCCCCGGUGGGUGAGCAGACAAGCCUCUCGGGCGGUGAGUGCCGGUCGGCACCGAUCCUCUGUGCGGGAAUCUCUCCGCUUUCCCCUCUGCACCCCUGUGGCUGUGCUCCCCUCCGCGGCUCCGAAACUCUCCCCUCCGCCACCCGCAGUCUCCGCCCGCGAAGGGGCUUCUAGUGUGUGGAAACCUCUCCUCCUUCACGGCUCCCUCCCACUGGUGCAGGUCCCGUCCUUAUCCUUUUGUCUCUGUUUAUUCUUUUUUCUUUUUCCCUACCCAGCUGCCUGGCAUUUUUAUCCGAGAAGAGGUUUACAGAACCAAACCUGCAGGGAACAAAUAUUCGCGACUACCACCUGCACUUUAAAGAGAGGAAGAAAUCAUCAGCUCCGGAGACAGUAAAGGAGAAGCUGCAGCUUCUGCAAGGUCGAGCAUCAAGGAAAGAAGAGAGACACACCCAGGGGGAAAUUGAAGCUGGGCAGUUACAAGCCAAGGAAAGCCUAGGACCACCAGCAAACACCAGACACGGGAAGAGGCAGGAAGGACCCUCCCCUGGAGCUUUUGGAGGGAGCACAGCCCUGCUGACACCUUGCUCCUGGACUUCUGGCCUUGAGAACUGUGAGAGAAUGAAUUCCUGUGUUUAGCCACCCGGCUGUGUAAUUUGUUACAGCAGCUGGAGGAAAUGACCUCAUUGGGUCUCAGUUAUUUGGCUGAUAAAAUU